rnacentral:rRNA from 1 species
UACGUAGGGGGCAAGCGUUGUCCGGAAUCAUUGGGCGUAAAGCGCGUGUAGGCGGUUCGAUAAGUCUGCUGUGAAAGUCCAGGGCUCAACCCUGGGAUGCCGGUGGAUACUGUCGGACUAGAGUACGGAAGAGGCGAGUGGAAUUCCCGGUGUAGCGGUGAAAUGCGCAGAUAUCGGGAGGAACACCAAUGGCGAGGGCAGCUCGCUGGGACGGUACUGACGCUGAGACGCGAAAGCGUGGGGAGCAAACAGG